CAGUUAGACUUGAAGGGAAAGGAAAACAAAAAAUGAAAAUCAUACAACUGAAAAGUUUGAACUUAAAACAACAGACAACGUACUAUUAUUUUCCUGACCACCUACCAGAUCUUGGAAAUGAUACUUGUGGAUAUAUCAAAAUUAAAGACAAUGUGGACGAAAAAAAGAAGAUUAUUGUGAAAUGCUGGUUUCUUGACAAAGAUACCCCAAGACUGCGAGAGGAAAGACCAAGAUUAUUAAUCAUUUUUGCAGAC